UACGAAGGUCCCAAGCGUUGUUCGGAAUCACUGGGCGUAAAGGGAGCGUAGGCGGCGUGGUAAGUCAGAUGUGAAAUCCCGGGGCUCAACCCCGGAACUGCAUCCGAUACUGCCGUGCUUGAGGGUUGGAGAGGUGACUGGAAUUAUCGGUGUAGCAGUGAAAUGCGUGGAUAUCGAUAGGAACACUCGUGGCGAAGGCGAGGCACUGGACAACAUCUGACGCUGAGGCUCGAAGGCUAGGGGAGCAAAAGGG
rnacentral:rRNA from 1 species